GAGUUUGAUCAUGGCUCAGAUUGAACGCUGGCGGCAGGCCUAACACAUGCAAGUCGAGCGGAUGACGGGAGCUUGCUCCUUGAUUCAGCGGCGGACGGGUGAGUAAUGCCUAGGAAUCUGCCUGGUAGUGGGGGACAACGUUUCGAAAGGAACGCUAAUACCGCAUACGUCCUACGGGAGAAAGCAGGGGACCUUCGGGCCUUGCGCUAUCAGAUGAGCCUAGGUCGGAUUAGCUAGUUGGUGGGGUAAUGGCUCACCAAGGCGACGAUCCGUGACUGGUCUGAGAGGAUGAUCAGUCACACUGGAACUGAGACACGGUCCAGACUCCUACGGGAGGCAGCAGUGGGGAAUAUUGGACAAUGGGCGAAAGCCUGAUCCAGCCAUGCCGCGUGUGUGAAGAAGGUCUUCGGAUUGUAAAGCACUUUAAGUUGGGAGGAAGGGCAGUAAGUUAAUACCUUGCUGUUUUGACGUUACCGACAGAAUAAGCACCGGCUAACUCUGUGCCAGC
rnacentral:rRNA from 1 species